rnacentral:rRNA from 1 species
ACCCGCUGAACUUAAGCAUAUUGCUAAGCGCAGGAAAAUAAAACAACCGUGACUCUCAUAGUAACUGCGAGUGAAGUGAGAAAAGCCCAACGUUAAAAGCUGCAUCUUGACGGAUGUCGCGUUGUAACGUAUAGAUGUGUUCUCAAGAUAAAAACAUAUGUUAAAGUUACAUAGAGUGGUACGCCAUAGAGGGUUAUAGCCCCGUGCAUGACAUAUGUAGUAAUUUUAUCAAGUAAACACAAUCUAAGAGUCGUGUUGUUUGGGAUUGCAACACUAAGUAGUUGGUAAACUUCAGCUAAGGCUAAAUACUAACACGAGACCGAUAGCAAACAAGUACCGUGAGGGAAAGUUGAAAAGUAAUCUGAAAAGACAGUUAAAAGUACGUGAAACUCUCUAUAGAGGAAGCAAACAGCUGAAUCGAAGCAUUUUUAUGAUUAGGUGAUUAAUUUUUAAUUAUCCCCCUCAUAUUAAUUGCGCGCUGGGCUUGUCAUGUUUGUAUGAAUUUACGUUAAAUGCACGCCAAUAAUAUUAGUUUAAUUCUGUGAUGGUUAAAUUAUUAACUAAAUAUCUUUAAAUAAUAUUGAUUUGCUAUAAGGUGCAUAACAUGACAUGGGCUAAUAUGUAAAAGCAGUUUGUUUAAGCGAAUAUUUUAUUAAAAGAACUAUACACUGUUAAGUUUAUAGAACUUUUAAUUUUUAUAGCCAAACUAACGUAUUCUCAGCGAGAUAAACUGUGGUUUGACCCGUCUUGAAACACGGACCAAGGAGGCUAACGUAUACGCGAGUCAAGGGGAAACAUGAAUGUGUUGUUCGAUAAAACCCUAUGGCGUAAUGAAAGUAAAAAACGAUAUCUUUAAAUUGCGAUUAUUGAGAGCAUCGUUGGCCAUUUCAAUUCAUUGGAAUUUUAAUGAGCUGGAGCGUAUGCGAUAGGACCCGAAAGAUGGUGAACUAUGCCUGAGUAGAAUGAAGCCAGAGGAAACUCUGGUGGAGGUUCGAAGCGAUUCUGACGUGCAAUUCGAUCGUCAAACUUGGGUAUAGGGGCGAAAGACUAAUCGAACCAUCUAGUAGCUGGUUCCCUCCGAAAUAUCCCUCAGGAUAGCUGGAGCCUGAGCCAAGAGCAGUUUCAUCGGGUAGAGCUAAUGAUUAGAGGAAUUAGGGUCAUAACAGAUCUUAACCUAUUCUCAAACUGCGAACCGGUGAGAAAAAUAAUAUUGCUUAUGUGUAUGACUUCGGUUAUAUGUUGAAUAUUAUUUGUGAAUGCUAGGGCUCCAAGUGGGCCGUUUCUGGUAAGCAGAACUGGCGAUGCGGGAUGAACCGAGAGCUAAGUUAAGGUGCCUAAAUAAACGCCAAUGGACACCACUAAAGGAGUUGGUCGAUGAAGACAGCAGGACGGUGGCCCUGAAAGUAGGAAUCCGCUAAGGAGUGUCUAACAACUCACCUGCCGAAUCGACUGGCCCUGAAGAUGGAUGGCGCUUAGAGCGUUUUACCGAUACUUGGCCAUCAACAUUAGUGUGUGAUACAUGUUGAUGGGUAGGAGGGCGCAAAGGUAGCGAUGAAGGUUACGGUGUAAACCAAAUUGGAGCUGUCUUUGGUGCGGAUCUUGGUGGUAGUAGCAGUUUAUUCAAGUGAAACGCUUGAAGGCCGAAGAGGAGAAGGGUUCCGCGUAAACAUCAUUUGAACGCGGGUUAGUCGGUCCUAAGUGGCAGCCUACAUGCUGAUAUCAAAGGAGAUUAUUUGCAUAAGUUUAUAAUGGAUUUAAUAGUUUUGUUAUAGGUUUAUGUAACUCUCAUUACGACCGAAAGGGAAUUCAGGUUUAAUAUUUCCUGAACCAGGUGACGGAUAGUUUUAUAUAGUGAAUAUAAUAUUUUAUAUGUUAUUUGGUAUAUAGAUGCAGCGGUAACGCAAACGAACUCAGAGACAUCUUUAGGCAGUCCUAGGAAGAGUUAUCUUCUCUGUUUAACGAAAUGACACCCUGGAAUUGAGUCAUUCAGAGAUAGGGGUUGAGACUUCGGAAGAGCAUCGCACUUUUUGUGAUGUCUGGUGCGCUGUCUAAGAUCCUUGAAAAAUCUGAGGGAGUGAAUGAUUAUCGUGCCUGGCCGUACCGUAAUCCGCAACAGGUCUCCAAGGUGAACAGCCUCUGGCACUAGAAUAAUGUGGGUAAGGGAAGUCGGCAAAAUAGAUUCGUAACUUCGGGAUAAGGAUUGGCUCUAUGGAUUGGGCUAAUCGGGUUAACUUGCCUAAUAUAAAUGCGUUUGUAAUUGAGUUUGAUUAAGAAAUGCAGUAAUGUGGAUAAUUUUUGAGUUUGACUACUUAUGUGUUUUAUUAAGUAGUUAACUUGGUAAGUAUAUUGGUGUUGUUCACUCAAUGUCUUUAUAUUUAUCGUUACGGUUAGCUAAGAUCAAUCAACAUAGAACUGUCACUAACAAGGGGAAUCCGACUGUUUAAUUAAAACAAAGCAUUGCGAUGGCUAUAAAUAGUGUUGACGCAAUGUGAUUUCUGCCCAGUGCUCUGAAUGUCAAAGUGUGGAAACACAACCAAGCGCGGGUAAACGGCGGGUGUAACUAUGACUCUCUCAAGAUAGCCAAAUGCCUCGUCAUCUAAUUAGUGACGCGCAUGAAUGGAUCAACGAGAUUCCCACUGUCCCUACCUUCCAUCUAGCGAAACCACAGUCAAGGGAACGGGCUUGACUGAGACAGCGGGGAAAGAAGACCCUGUUGAGCUUGACUCUAGUUUGAUAUGGUUAGGAGACAUGAGAGGUGUAGCGUAGGUGGGAGAAUUGAUAAUUUAUUAUCUUUUCGGCCUUGAAACACCACCACUUUCAUUGUUUCCUCACUUAAUCGGUAAUGAGGGAAGUGCCCAGCGGAUUCUUAUGCUGUAGUUUCUACAUGGUCAAAAGCCAUGCUAGUUCUACAUAUAGUGUAUGUAUGAAACUGGUGUCACGUAUACUAAGAAUUGUAAGACAAUUGGUGUUGAUAAUGUUGCCAUGUAUACAUGAAUGUAAUAUUAUUGAUACUUUAACUAAUUGUUAACCCCAACUACGUUUUUAACGUGUGUGUGACCGAUGACAGUGUCAGAUGGGGAGUUUGGCUGGGGCGGUACACCCUCUAAAAUGCAACGAGGGUGUCCAAAGGUGAGCUCACGGUGGACAGAAACCACCGGUAGAGUAUAAGGGCAAAAGCUCGCUUGAUUUUGAUUUUCAGUAUGAAUACAAACCACGAAAGUGUGGCCUAGCGAUCCUUUAUAAUGACCUGAAAGUUUCAGGAUAGAGGUGUCAGAAAAGUUACCACAGGGAUAACUGGCUUGUGGCUGCCAAGCGAACAUAGCGACGUAGCUUUUUGAUCCUUCGAUGUCGGCUCUUCCUAUCAUUGCGCAGCAGCAUACGCAAAGUGUUGGAUUGUUCACCCGCUAACAGGGAACGUGAGCUGGGUUUAGAC